AUGGAUAUGAGGGACUAUGCUCAGCUUCUGGGGCUUCUGCUGCUCUGGUUCCGAGACACAGUCACCAUCACUUGCAAGGCCAAUGAAGACAUUGGCUACCUUUUGUACUGGUUCCAACAGAAACCAGGGAAAGUUCCUAAAUGGCUGAUCUAUGCAGCAAACAGUUUGAAAUCUGGGGUCCCAUUGAGGUUCAGUGGCAGUGAAUCUGGGGUAGAUUACAUUCUCACCAUCAACAGCCUGGAGCCUGAAGAUGUUGCGAAUUAUUACUGUCUAAAAGGUUAUGAUACUCCUCCUGUGAUGAUACAAGCCAUAAUAAAGCCACCAAGGAAAGCAGAAAUGUGA